CCAAUCAAUCCAUGCUUAAGCAUAUAUACAAGUGAUCAAGCAAUUCUCAAAUCUAUAGAACAUGUAAUGAAGAUCCAACAAAUUAUCAUAAUUAAACAAACUAGUAAGUAGUAACCUAUCAAAUCUCCAACUUUGUUUCCCCCUCACUCUCUUCUAAUAAACACAUACACUUCAUCGGUUGAUGGUUCGCUUCAAUCACAUGAUUCUAAGAAUUACCCAUAACAGUCAUGGGUUAAAACUUGAAUUCAGCCACAACAACCCCAACGAAGGUUUUUUUUAGAUGAAAACUCGAAUAACAUCUGAGAAAGAGCAAAUGAUUUCUUUUAUUUCUUCUGUUUUGGUUUCAAGGAUGGAACCCAAAAGAGUAAGCUAGAAGGAAGCAUCGAAAACAUCUCAAGUAGAUCAUACAACCUAAAACUUACCUCUAUUUAUAGCUGGAAAUAGAUUGUUCACACGGACCCGUGUCAUCCAUCUUCUUUGUCUUCAUUAAAUGAGCUUGUCAGUCCGGAUGCUUGCACGGCCCUAUGGCCAUUGUACUUGCUGUACUAUCCAAGAUUUGCAUAUAUGAGGGUUGACAACGGCCUGUGUUCAUGGGACACGGUCCCAUGUCUCUUGUCUGCUUCUAUUUAUCUUCUUCUUUCUAAAAUCUUGAGUGAGGCACGGCCCCAUGCUUGUCUUCUGAUUCGUUGUUUUUGGUCUUGGGGUGAAGCUCGGAGGGUUGGUUGUAACACCCAAAAACGGGUUUGGUAAUUUAGAACCCGGUUAAGAUAAAGGGAUGGGUAAAGUACCGUUAGUAGUAAAAGUGAACCCAUAAACAAAAUGACUAGGAAUGAAUUUGCCUAGUGGUAUCAUGUAUAUAAGUAAGAAGAUGAGGAGUUUUAGUCCCGUAUAUAAUCAAAAUGAAACAUGAGGGACCAAAACCGUUAAGAUGGAAACAUGGGUUCUAUUUAUGAAAGAUAAAAAAACAUAAACACUUUCGUGUGUUCUAGAAACAAGCAGGAGCUUCAUGAGAGCUCACAACCCUAACUUUUAUCUAUUUCAUCAAAUUGAAAGGCAAGAUGAAGCUUAAAUUCAUAACCAAGCAUGGAUUAAUGAUCACCCUCACAAGGGGAUCAUAAGGGAUCAUGUCAAGAUGGAUGGAAGCAUGGAUGGCUAACGAGUCAAAAGGAGGCGAGGAAACGGAUGCGAAUACGGACACUUAAGGUUAGUCAGCUAUUCAUGAUGGACAAGUGAAGGAGGGUCGAGUUGAAGAUCAUGGAUUGUACGGGAAAGUGGUCCCGUUGUUUGUAAUUAUUUGUUAACAUAGUUACAUUAAAUAAAUGAUGAAUGAUGUAUUUAUGUUAAAAGGGUUGACCUAAACGGUAUUCAAGUAUGUUAGACUAGUUAAAAGAAAGAAAUUUUACGGUUCAUUUUC